CCUACGGGAGGCAGCAGUAGGGAAUCUUCCACAAUGGGCGAAAGCCUGAUGGAGCAACGCCGCGUGAGUGAUGAAGGCCUUCGGGUUGUAAAACUCUGUCAUUCGGGACGAACCGGAGUCUGAGGAAAUGCAGACUCUCUGACGGUACCGGAGGAGGAAGCCCCGGCUAACUACGUGCCAGCAGCCGCGGUAAUACGUAGGGGGCAAGCGUUGUCCGGAUUCACUGGGCGUAAAGCGCGCGCAGGCGGUGAUGUAAGUCUGAGGUGAAAACCCGAAGCUCAACUUCGGGACUGCCUUGGAUACUGCGUCACUUGAGGAUAGGAGAGGCAAGGGGAAUUCCACGUGUAGCGGUGAAAUGCGUAGAGAUGUGGAGGAACACCUGUGGCGAAGGCGCCUUGCUGGCCUAUUUCUGACGCUGAGGCGCGAAAGCGUGGGGAGCAAACAGGAUUAGAUACCCUGGUAGUCCACGCUGUAAACGAUGAGUGCUAGGUGUAGGUGGGCUCAUACCCAUCUGUGCCGAAGCUAACGCAUUAAGCACUCCGCCUGGGGAGUCGGUCGCAAAGCUGAAACUCAAAUGAAUUGACGGCNGAGAGNGCGAGCGACGACGAGGGAGAGG
rnacentral:rRNA from 1 species